UUUGUCUAUUAAUUGUAGACUUGUAUGAAAGGCAAAAUGAGAGCCCAACUGUCUCUUAUAACAAAUCAAUUAAACUGAUCUCCUAGUACAAAAGCUAGGAUUCCACCAUAAGACCAGAAGACCCUGUGAAGCUUUAAUCAACUUAUUAAACCCCAUAAUAAUUAAUUUUGGUUGGGGCGACCUUGGAACAAAAAAGAACUUCCAAAUAAUGACUCCUCAUAUAAAAGGCAAACAAGCCGUAAUUAGACCCAGUAUACCUGACAAAUGAACCAAGUUACUCCAGGGAUAACAGCGCCAUCUUCUUCAAGAGCCCAUAUCAAAAAGAAGGUUUACGACCUCGAUGUUGGAUCAGGACAUCCUAGUUAUGCAACCGUCUCUAAGGGUUCGUUUGUUCAACGAUUAACAGU
rnacentral:rRNA from 1 species